UAAGCUAUGAUCCAGAGAUUUCCGAAUGGGGGAACCCAACAUCUUUAAUAGGAUGUUACGAUUGUGUGAAUACAUAGCACAUUCGAGGUAGACGCAGAGAACUGAAACAUCUAAGUACCUGCAGGAAGAGAAAGAAAAUUCGAUUCCCUGAGUAGCGGCGAGCGAAACGGGAAAAGCCCAAACCAGCAAGCUUGCUUGUUGGGGUUGUAGGACUCCAAUAUGGUAGUUCUUUCAGAUAGUCGAAUGACUUGGAAAAGUCAGUCAAAGAGGGUAAAAACCCCGUAGACGAAAUGUGGAAGACACCUAGGAGGAUCCUGAGUACGGCGGAACACGAGAAAUUCCGUCGGAAUCCGGGAGGACCAUCUCCCAAGGCUAAAUACUCCCUAGUGACCGAUAGUGAACCAGUACCGUGAGGGAAAGGUGAAAAGCACCCCGGAAGGGGAGUGAAAUAGAACCUGAAACCGUGUGCCUACAACAAGUCAAAGCCCGUUAAUGGGUGAUGGCGUGCCUUUUGUAGAAUGAACCGGCGAGUUACGAUUGCAUGCGAGGUUAAGUUGAAGAGACGGAGCCGCAGCGAAAGCGAGUCUGAAUAGGGCGUUUGAGUAUGUAGUCGUAGACCCGAAACCAUGUGAUCUACCCAUGUCCAGGUUGAAGGUGCGGUAAAACGCACUGGAGGACCGAACCCACGUACGUUGAAAAGUGCGGGGAUGAGGUGUGGGUAGCGGAGAAAUUCCAAACGAACUUGGAGAUAGCUGGUUCUCUCCGAAAUAGCUUUAGGGCUAGCCUCGGAAUU
rnacentral:rRNA from 1 species